AUUGAACGCUGGCGGCAGGCCUAACACAUGCAAGUCGAACGGACCCUUCGGGGUUAGUGGCGGACGGGUGAGUAACACGUGGGAACGUGCCUUUAGGUUCGGAAUAGCUCCUGGAAACGGGUGGUAAUGCCGAAUGUGCCCUUCGGGGGAAAGAUUUAUCGCCUUUAGAGCGGCCCGCGUCUGAUUAGCUAGUUGGUGAGGUAAUGGCUCACCAAGGCGACGAUCAGUAGCUGGUCUGAGAGGAUGACCAGCCACAUUGGGACUGAGACACGGCCCAAACUCCUACGGGAGGCAGCAGUGGGGAAUCUUGCGCAAUGGGCGAAAGCCUGACGCAGCCAUGCCGCGUGGAUGAUGAAGGUCUUAGGAUUGUAAAAUACUUUUACCGGUGAAGAUAAUGACUGUAGCCGGAGAAGAAGCCCCGGCUAACUUCGUGCCAGCCGCCGCAGUAA
rnacentral:rRNA from 1 species